rnacentral:rRNA from 2 species
GGAUGCGAUCAUAGCAGCACUAAAGCACCGGAUCCCAUCAGAACUCCGAAGUUAAGCGUGCUUGGGCGAGAGUAGUACUAGGAUGGGUGACCUCUUGGGAAGUCCUCGUGUUGCAUUCC